rnacentral:rRNA from 1 species
AUGAACGCUGGCGGCGUGCCUAAUACAUGCAAGUCGAGCGAACGGACGAGAAGCUUGCUUCUCUGAUGUUAGCGGCGGACGGGUGAGUAACACGUGGAUAACCUACCUAUAAGACUGGGAUAACCUCGGGAAACCGGAGCUAAUACCGGAUAAUAUUUUGAACCGCAUGGUUCAAAAACGAAAGACGGUCUUGCUGUCACUUAUAGAUGGAUCCGCGCUGCAUUAGCUAGUUGGUAAGGUAACGGCUUACCAAGGCAACGAUGCAUAGCCGACCUGAGAGGGUGAUCGGCCACACUGGAACUGAGACACGGUCCAGACUCCUACGGGAGGCAGCAGUAGGGAAUCUUCCGCAAUGGGCGAAAGCCUGACGGAGCAACGCCGCGUGAGUGAUGAAGGUCUUCGGAUCGUAAAACUCUGUUAUUAGGGAAGAACAUAUGUGUAAGUAACUGUGCACAUCUUGACGGUACCUAAUCAGAAAGCCACGGCUAACUACGUG